GGGUUGUGAGGUUAAGCGACUAAGCGUACACGGUGGAUGCCCUGGCAGUCAGAGGCGAUGAAGGACGUGCUAAUCUGCGAAAAGCGUCGGUAAGGUGAUAUGAACCGUUAUAACCGGCGAUGUCCGAAUGGGGAAACCCAGUGCAAUUCGUUGCACUAUCGUUAACUGAAUACAUAGGUUAACGAGGCGAACCGGGGGAACUGAAACAUCUAAGUACCCCGAGGAAAAGAAAUCAACCGAGAUUCCCCCAGUAGCGGCGAGCGAACGGGGAGCAGCCCAGAGUCUGAAUCAGCUUGUGUGUUAGUGGAACGGUCUGGAAAGUCCGACGGUACAGGGUGAUAGUCCCGUACACCAAAAUGCACAGGCUGUGAACUCGAAGAGUAGGGCGGGACACGUGGUAUCCUGUCUGAAUAUGGGGGGACCAUCCUCCAAGGCUAAAUACUCCUGACU
rnacentral:rRNA from 1 species